rnacentral:tRNA from 1 species
AGUUUUAAUAAUUUAAAUAAAAUAUUGGUCUUGUAAACCAAAAAUAAGUCUAUCUUUUAAAACUU